rnacentral:misc_RNA from 1 species
CUGCCCUCAAGCACGGCUUGUGUGUUGGGCUCCGUCCUCCUCCCGGGGGACGGGCCCGAAAGGCAGCGGCGGCACCGCGUCCGGUCCUCGAGCGUAUGGGGCUUUGUCACUCGCUCUGUAGGCCCGGCCGGCGCUUGCCGACACAUCAAUCUUUUUUCCAGG